rnacentral:rRNA from 1 species
CCUACGGGUGGCAGCAGUGGGGGAUCUUGCACAAUGGGGGAAACCCUGAUGCAGCGACGCCGCGUGAGUGAAGAAGGAUUUCGGUAUGUAAAGCUCUAUCAGCAGGGGAGAAAAUGACAGUGCCUGACCCAGAAGCCGCGGCUAACUACGUGCCAGCCGCCGCGGUAAUCCGUAGGGGGAAAGCGUUAUCCGGAUUUACUGGGUGUAAAGGGAGAGUAGACGGUUAUGUAAGUCUGGAGUGAAAGCCCGGGGCCCAACCCCGGGACUGCAUUGGAUACUGUGUAACUGGAGUAAAGGAGGGGCAAGCGGAAUUCCUGGUGUAGCAGUGAAAUGCGUAGAUAUCAGGAGGAACACUGGCGGCGAAGGCGGGCUGCUGGACUUAAACUGACGUUGAGGCUCGAAGGCGAGGGGAGCGAACAGGAUUAGAUACCCUAGUAGUC